rnacentral:rRNA from 1 species
UUCGGUGGGGAUUAGUGGCGAACGGGUGAGUAACACGUGGGCAAUCUGCCCUUCACUCUGGGACAAGCCCUGGAAACGGGGUCUAAUACCGGAUAACACUCCUACUCGCAUGGGUGGGGGUUGAAAGCUCCGGCGGUGAAGGAUGAGCCCGCGGCCUAUCAGCUUGUUGGUGAGGUAGUGGCUCACCAAGGCGACGACGGGUAGCCGGCCUGAGAGGGCGACCGGCCACACUGGGACUGAGACACGGCCCAGACUCCUACGGGAGGCAGCAGUGGGGAAUAUUGCACAAUGGGCGAAAGCCUGAUGCAGCGACGCCGCGUGAGGGAUGACGGCCUUCGGGUUGUAAACCUCUUUCAGCAGGGAAGAAGCGAAAGUGACGGUACCUGCAGAAGAAGCGCCGGCUAACUACGUGCCAGCAGCCGCGGUAAUACGUAGGGCGCAAGCGUUGUCCGGAAUUAUUGGGCGUAAAGAGCUCGUAGGCGGUCUGUCGCGUCGGAUGUGAAAGCCCGGGGCUUAACCCCGGGUCUGCAUUCGAUACGGGCAGACUAGAGUGUGGUAGGGGAGAUCGGAAUUCCUGGUGUAGCGGUGAAAUGCGCAGAUAUCAGGAGGAACACCGGUGGCGAAGGCGGAUCUCUGGGCCAUUACUGACGCUGAGGAGCGAAAGCGUGGGGAGCGAACAGGAUUAGAUACCCUGGUAGUCCACGCCGUAAACGG